GACGAACGCUGGCGGCGUGCUUAACACAUGCAAGUCGAACGGAAAGGCCCUGCUUUUGUGGGGUGCUCGAGUGGCGAACGGGUGAGUAACACGUGAGUAACCUGCCCUUGACUUUGGGAUAACUUCAGGAAACUGGGGCUAAUACCGGAUAGGAGCUCCUGCUGCAUGGUGGGGGUUGGAAAGUUUCGGCGGUUGGGGAUGGACUCGCGGCUUAUCAGCUUGUUGGUGGGGUAGUGGCUUACCAAGGCUUUGACGGGUAGCCGGCCUGAGAGGGUGACCGGCCACAUUGGGACUGAGAUACGGCCCAGACUCCUACGGGAGGCAGCAGUGGGGAAUAUUGCACAAUGGGCGGAAGCCUGAUGCAGCAACGCCGCGUGCGGGAUGACGGCCUUCGGGUUGUAAACCGCUUCCGCCUGUGACGAAGCGUGAGUGGCGGUAAUGGGUAAAGAAGCACCGGCUAACUACAUG
rnacentral:rRNA from 1 species